AAGCUAUGGCUGAGAUUUGGGAUUUUCCACGAUUUUCUAUGAGUCCAUUUUGACUUCAAUGGAUAAGAUCAUGCCAAAGUUUCCAUUGCCUCGCCACUGUUUGUUUUUCGACAGUAAGAAUUUUGUCUUGCUUCUCAAGUUGAUGCACCACUACCAACAUCUGGAGAAUCGAUAAGUAUCUAUGAUUCAGGUCGAGUGGAGCUAUUGUAAUGAUCAUUUGGGUUAUUUCUUGGAUCAUCAUAUAGGUUUGAAAUAAUUCAACAGACACCCGAGGUAUGUUUGGACUUUGAAGCAUAUUAUUAGGUGGGCACAGGAUAGUAUAAGAGGCAAAAUUUUAACCUCGUUUUCUCACUGUCCAAUACAGUUAAUUCACGGUUGUUAAACAAAACACGGGGGUAUUUUGGCCAACUUUAUUUCAAGGAUUCUUGAGCAAACUUUCCAAUGAGCAAAGUUAAUAGCUAUAGCAAUCUUUUAUUAUUGCUUCUUUUUUCCUUC
rnacentral:lncRNA from 1 species